UUAACCCUAAAGAAGUCGUUGCGCCCAACAGCUGCCCUUUGUCUUCAUCACUGCCGAUGAGGACCGUCGCACUUAGCUGCCCUCUCUCCGAUGAGUACCCUCGCACCCAAAUGCCCUCUCUCCUAGCCCUUCAUCUUCAUCACUAUUGAGAACUCAUUCACCCAGCCCUCUCCCUGUCGCACCUAGCUCCUUCACAACCCUUUUUCACACCAACCCUCGCACUAUCAACGCAAGCUGUGUCGUUGGAUUCGCAACUCUAUAUCGGCGCUCCUCCAUCUGCGCACCGUGCAUUGGCGUGCCCUCAUCCCUCAGCAGUAUCUCUCUCGCAAACCCUAAAAUGUUGCCUCAAUCAUUUUUGCGUCUCCCUCAAUCGGUGCUCAACCCUCACCUUAAACACUACAAGGCUUUUAGUAGUUGUCUUUUCGCUGCUACUGCUGCCACCUCUCUUGGUUUGCUUCCGUUGUGGUACUGCAGCUGCUACAGUGGCUUUUGGUAGUUGUCUUUUUGCUGCUGUUGCCACAACCACCUCUCUUGGUUUGCUUCCACUGUGGUACUGCUGUUGCUAUUGGGGUAUGGAUUUAGCUUCUACGGUGCUAGUUGGCUAUCUUAAUUUUAGUUUAAUUUUAAAAACUCCGACAGCUUCUAUAGAGGCCACUAUGCUAAUGAAAUCAAAAGUGGAAUUUGUUUUAAUUACUCUAUCAUUGGAGGUCAUGUGAUCGUGGUUCUCUAUGUCCUAACCUUGUAUAAACUACACUCGUAUGUUAUAUAGUCUUAAUAAGUGGUUGGACAAUUUUUGCUUCCAAAACCCUUACUAAUGUAUAAUGUUUGAAACAAGGAUACCCAUUGUUGGUUGGAUCCUUGAAUUGCUUUUAUCAUUAACCAUUUUUGUUAUCAAUUUGCUAAACUUUAAAACAACAUCCAUUAAUUUGUUAUUCAUGUUAUGUGUACUGCUUAAGUGCUUUCCCGAGGCACUCAUUUCAGGGCCUUCUUUAAGAAUCGCUAAAAUUCAAUUUUCUUUGUUAUUUUUUGUUAGUUGUCUUUAAAGUAUUUUGGAGGCUGGAAAAAUAUUGUCUCUUAAUUAGUUAAAUAGGAAGCUAGAUUUGCAGUUAGUGAGACUAACAAUAAGGACUUUAGAUUGGGAACUUAGCUAUCUAUUUGAAAUAUAUAGGUUUUUGAUGGAUGUCUGAUAAACUCCAUUUGUAGGGUUUAUCUUGUGCUUGAUUUAGGGGAUUUUAUAACCUUUUACCCACAUUUAUCCAUUGAAAUAGCAUAGUUUUAUAACUUCUCCUUUAAUUGUGCUUAAGAGUGAAAACAUGCUUUUUAGGACUUAAAAUUAGCUAAAUCUAAUUCUCCUUGAUUCUAUUAGAUGCCUUGAUAUGUUUGCUAAGUGAUUUCAGAUUUAAGAGGCAAGGAUUGGACCAAGGGAAUAAAGGAAAAGCAUGUAGAAAUGGAGAACUCAUGGAGAAAUAAAGGAAAGGCAAAAGCUGUCAAGCCGACCUCUUCGCACUUAAUUGACCAUAACUUGAGCUACAGAAAUCCAAAUGAUGCGGUUUCAGUUGGGUUGGAAAGCUAACAUCUGGGGCUUCGAAACGAUAUAAGAUUUGCUAUGGUUGAACCGCGCAUGGUAAUGCGUACGAGCAUAGUAUGCGCACGCGCCGUUGCUGCCACCUGGUUCACUUAAAGCAAAACGUGGCCAGCGAAUUCUAAAGCCUUGUGGGCCCAAUCCAACUCAUUUCUGAUGCUAUUUAACCCAAGGAGUGAAGAGGGAAACACAAGUUAGUUACCAUUAGUUUAGUUUAGCUUAGUUUAGUAGUUAGAGUUAGUUUCUAGAGAGAGAAGCUCUCACUUCUCUCUAGGAUUAGGAUUAGGAUUAGGUUUAGUUCUUAGAUCUAGAUUUUAAUUCAUCUUCUUCUACUUCUAUCUUCUCAAUUCCUUGUAGUUACAUUCAUUCUUCUUCCAUUCCUUUGUUGUAAUCUCUUUUAUGUUGUUCUUGUGUUUUGUUGUAGAUCUACUUUUGUUUCUUCUACUUUCUUUCAAUUUAA